GCUGUAGCAAAGUGGUAGAGCAUCUGCUUUGCAUGCAGACAGUCCCAGGUUUAAUUCAUGGCAUCUCCA